rnacentral:lncRNA from 1 species
AAAACUAAUAAUUCCAAGAAGGAGGGAUAGACUGCUAAAAAAAAAAAAAAAAAAAAAAAAAAAGCUAAUAAUUUCAAGAAAGAGGGGAGGGAAGGAUUUUAAAACGAGCCAGAGAAAACACAUAGGUGCCUUUAAAGGAGAAGCAGGAAGACUGGGAGCUGUCAACAGAUAUGUUGGAAAAAAUAAAGAGUGGAAUAACAUUUUAAAAGUAUUGACAGAGAAUAUACCAAAUGAUAAUUCAUUAUAUAGAAAAUAAAUAUAUUUUCAAAGUGAAGGUAAAAAAAUUUAUUCCAUUCAAACAAUAUUAGAAUAUGCUAACAAAAAAAAAUACUAAUAAGUACUAGUAAAUAAGAACCUAUCCUAAGAAAGCUGAUACUGAACAAAUAAUAGGCAGAAAUAACUGAAGACUAACAUAAUGCUUAAAGAUUUGGAAAUAUCUAAAUGUAUGCUAAUUGGUGAAAUAAAAAUAAUAAUUAUAGCUACUGUAUUUAAAAUAUAUACAGAAUUAAAAUGCAUGUCAACAAUGGCAUACAGACAAAAGGAUGUGGAAUGCAGUUGCUAAGAGCUUAGCAUUAUCAAGGAAAUAGUAAAGAAUGUUAUCAAUAUCAGUUUAAAAAUGCAUACUAUCAUCUCGAGUAAUCACUAAAAAAGAAUAAAGAACUUACAAUGGAAAUUACACAUAUUUUUAAUUACAUGAACAAACCUGUAGGAUUUAUCUAAAUCAAGUGCUUAGAAGCAAACAAUUCAUUUUCACUUGAUAUUUAUUAGUUUUCUAUAUUGCUGUGUAAUAAACUAACAAAAAAUUAGUGCUGUAAAAGCCAUUUAUUAGUUCGCAGUUCUCUAUGUCAGAAGUCUGAGCACAGUGGCAGAACGCGGUGGCUCACGCCUGUAAUCCCAGCACUUUGGGAGGCCAAGGCGGGCAGUCACUUGAGGUCAGGAGUUCGAAACCAGCCUCCCAGGAGUUUGAGACCAGUCUGGGCAACAUGGCAAAACUCAGUUUCUAUACAAAUUAGCUGGGCAUGGUGACAUGCACCUGUGGUCCCAACUAUACAGGAAGCUGAGGUGGGAGGAUGGCAUGAAUUUGGCAGGUUG